CCUACGGGGGGCAGCAGUGGGGAAUAUUGCACAAUGGGGGAAACCCUGAUGCAGCGACGCCGCGUGAGUGAAGAAUUAUUUCGGUGUGUAAAGCUCUAUUAGCAGGGGAGAAAACCACCCUCCGGGGUGGCUGACGGUACCUGACUAAGAAGCCCCAGCUAACUACGUGCCAGCAGCCGCGGGAAUACGUAGGGGGCAAGCGUUAUCCGGAUUUAUUGGGUGUAAAGGGAGCGUAGGUGGCAAGGCAAGUCAGAUGUGAAAACCCGCGGCCCAACCCCGGGAGUGCAAUUGAUACUGUCAGGCUAGAGUGCAGGAGAGGUAAGUGGAAUUCCUAGUGUAGCGGUGAAAUGCAUAGAUAUUAGGAGGAACACCAGUGGCGAAGGCGGCUUACUGGACUGUAACUGACACUGAGGCUCGAAAGCGUGGGGAGCAAACAGGAUUAGAUACCCUUGUAGUC
rnacentral:rRNA from 1 species